GAUGAACGCUAGCUACAGGCUUAACACAUGCAAGUCGAGGGGAAACGACAUCGAAAGCUUGCUUUUGAUGGGCGUCGACCGGCGCACGGGUGAGUAACGCGUAUCCAACCUGCCCAUCACUUGGGAAUAACCUUGCGAAAGUAAGACUAAUACCCAAUGAUAUCCCACGAAGGCAUCGGAAUGGGAUUAAAGAUUUGUCGGUGAUGGAUGGGGAUGCGUCUGAUUAGCUUGUUGGCGGGGUAACGGCCCACCAAGGCAACGAUCAGUAGGGGUUCUGAGAGGAAGGUCCCCCACAUUGGAACUGAGACACGGUCCAAACUCCUACGGGAGGCAGCAGUGAGGAAUAUUGGUCAAUGGGCGAGAGCCUGAACCAGCCAAGUAGCGUGCAGGAAGACGGCCCUAUGGGUUGUAAACUGCUUUUAUAAGGGAAUAAAGUGGGUCACGUGUGACUUUUUGCAUGUACCUUAUGAAUAAGGACCGGCUAAUUCCGUG
rnacentral:rRNA from 1 species